rnacentral:rRNA from 1 species
ACGGAAGGCAGCAGUGGGGGAUAUUGCACAAUGGGCGAAAGCCUGAUGCAGCAAUGCCGCGUGAGGGAAGAAGGUUUUCGGAUUGUAAACCUCUGUCCCUGAUGACGAAGACAGUGACGGUAAUCAGGGAGGAAGCCACGGCUACUACGUGCCAGCAGCCGCGGUAAUACGUAGGUGGCAAGCGUUGUCCGGAAUUACUGGGUGUAAAGGGAGCGCAGGCGGGAGAGCAAGUCAGCGGUGAAAACUAUGGGCUUAACCCAUAGACUGCCGUUGAAACUGUUUUUCUUGAGUGAAGUAGAGGCAGGCGGAAUUCCGAGUGUAGCGGUGAAAUGCGUAGAUAUUCGGAGGAACACCAGUGGCGAAGGCGGCCUGCUGGGCUUUUACUGACGCUGAGGCUCGAAAGUGUGGGGAGCAAACAGGAUUAGAUACCCUGGUA